rnacentral:rRNA from 1 species
GACGGAGGAGGCAAGCGUUAUCAGGAAUUAUUGGGCGUAAAGCGUCCGCAGGUGGCGAUUCAAGUGUGCUGUAAAAGGUCGGGGCUUAACCCCGGGAAGGCAGUGGAAACUGAAUAGCUAGAGUGCGGUAGGGGCAGAGGGAAUUCCCGGUGUAGAGGUGAAAUGCGUAGAGAUCGGGAAGAACACCAGUGGCGCAAGCGCUCUGCUGGGCCUGCACUGACACUGAGGGACGAAAGCUAGGGGGGCGAAAGGG